UUGUUUCCGUGUUGCUCAGCAACAUCACAAAGGGAACCUGGCGCCACUUAAUGUCAUAUUUUGUCUGACAUUGAACAACUGAAGAGGCGUGUGUCAUAUAGAAGAUAUUGAAACUAACAGAAGGUUGUCGGGAUUGAGAUUAUUUCACAUCCGGUGCCCUUAAUAUACGUUUGACUUUAAAAAACAUUCCUGGAUAACAAGCAAGUGUAUUUGUAACAGCGUCAUUCGGGAUGUAACGUUCCUUCAUACGCUAUUGUCGAACAUGUCCUGAUACCGCGGUACUGACGUAACAGCAAACAGACUCGCAGACAUGGGGACAGCCUCCAGCACAGACAACAAAGGAUCGGAAAUAAGUCCGAUCAGCGUCCCUGACUCCCUCGACUCCUACCCCCCUCCCAAGCCACCGAUCAGCAGGAAAACAGACGUGUUCAGAGAGGCGGAUUAUGCCCACGUCGACAGUCACGCCAAAUCGG